rnacentral:rRNA from 1 species
UAGGGAAUCUUCGGCAAUGGACGAAAGUCUGACCGAGCAACGCCGCGUGAGUGAAGAAGGUUUUCGGAUCGUAAAACUCUGUUGUUAGAGAAGAACAAGGACGUUAGUAACUGAACGUCCCCUGACGGUAUCUAACCAGAAAGUGACGGCUAACUACGUGCCAGCAGCCGCGGUAAUACGUAGGUGGCAAGCGUUGUCCGGAUUUAUUGGGCGUAAAGCGAGCGCAGGCGGUUUCUUAAGUCUGAUGUGAAAGCCCCCGGCUCAACCGGGGAGGGUCAUUGGAAACUGGGAGACUUGAGUGCAGAAGAGGAGAGUGGAAUUCCAUGUGUAGCGGUGAAAUGCGUAGAUAUAUGGAGGAACACCAGUGGCGAAGGCGGCUCUCUGGUCUGUAACUGACGCUGAGGCUCGAAAGCGUGGGGAGCAAACAGG